UAGAGUUAAACAAGAAUUUUACGUUUAUUUGUCAGGCAAAGAUAUUCAAUUCCAAUUCACAUAAUUAAACAAAACAAGCCAAUUCAGAUUGUACAACAUCCAUUUUUCAAAGAUACAUUUAAGAGUUACGAGAAUAAUACCUUACCGUGUAGAAAUACGUUGUACCUUAUAAGUCCUGAUGCAGAGCUCAAACUUAUACACUGCAACGGGGUAUCCUGGCUACAGAAUCCCACAUACACUUCUGCACCUUUUGCCUAAAUACUUAAAUCACUAUAAAUUCAAGACAAUAAAAGCUUCACCAAGAGCCUUGCCUGGUCAUGAGUUGAUGCAAAGACCAUUUUACCUGGAGUGGAGCAUCUGGCAAAGAUCUUAUCAAAGUCAAAACCCAAAUUAACUGUUAUAAGGGAGAUUGUAAAAUAUUAGAGUGAAAUUAAGACCACUCUACCAAUCACAUAAAGACUUUUAAAAUGAUACCAAACAUGAGAUAG
rnacentral:lncRNA from 1 species